rnacentral:lncRNA from 1 species
CUCUCUCUCUCUCCUGCGAAACCAGACCCUUUUUUUUCAGUUUCGGCUUGCCACGACCCCACCUUCACGCCUCCACCACCGCCACCACACGCCGCCACUUGGGAUGGCACUGGUUCCGUUGGAACCACCACACUCCCUACUUUCCAUUCCACCCCACCACCGCCUCGAUCCGCCACCGUGGUCGCUGGAAUCAGCCACGAAAGGUAGCGGUUUGGACAGAUUUUUACCAAACUUUCGACCCUUCGUUCUCUCUCAUUUCUCCACCAAAUUGGACGAGUAAGGUAUGGUUUUCUACCUAUUUUCCAUGAUCUAGCUGAUGGUUGGGUAGGAUUUCGUUAAUUUUGAGCGUAGAUUAACUGAACUCCAACUUAGGUUUUGGCCGGUUUUGGGUCUCCGAUUCCGGCCACUUCCGGUCAGUUUUUGGGGUAAGCCCAAGAACAAAAGUGACUCCAAAUGGGGUCUUGUACCUAGGGUAGGAGUCUUGAGCCGAGGUGUUGAGUUUUUCCGGCGAAGGGUUAUCGCUUUGGACACCCACGCUCUGCCAGCGCGUGGUGGCGCGUGGGCACUGUAGCAAAAGUGCAUUUUUGUCCAAAUGCGAUCUCCUGGUUGUCACGAGUGUGUAGGAUUUUACGGAUCCCAAUUCAUACAUCGUAUGACUAUCGAACGGAUUUUCGCAUGGUGUGCGUUAUUCGGGUUCGAUAGGUUCCGACCGUUGGAUCGACUCCAUUCCAAUUUAUGUUACUCUAGACUUUCCUAGGAACGAGUAGGAUCUCACGGAUCAUGAAUCGGAGCCCCGGAUGUUCCGAUUCAAUAAUUUAAAGUUUGAAGAUUUUUCGAUAACCGUUCGAUCGUGAGCAAUCUAACCGUCCUUUUUGGACCAAACUUACGGGACUUGUGUCUUAAACCUUGUGGAACUCUUAGGAACUUCCAGUUUGUUCCGUUCUUCGUACACUCGCUAGAAACUCGGGAAAUUAGGAUUUUAAUUCAAGUUCUCGUUCGAAACCCUUUAUAUUAAUCCCGUAUUUGUAUUCUGAAAUAGGUACUCCGACCACGCAUUCGCAGCAGGCGGGACCCUCUCAGGGUCAGGCAGUGUGGGAUUACUUGUGAGUGGACUUUGUUUUCAAAUCUUAUGCAUGGUUUUAUGGAUGAAAGAUUUAUGCUUAACGUUUUUAAUGAUUUAUUGAAUAUAUUAUAUUCGUGGGUUGAAUUUGAUGUUUGUUUAGCGCUUUGGCAUAGUUGGAUUUUGAAAGUAUAUUUUAUAAGGAUUUUGGGAAAUUUUAUGCAUGAUGUUUUAAAUGGUAUUUUGGAUAUAUUAUUUAUUCAAUUGUUGAAAGUGAUAUUUUUAUGAGGCAUUAGAAAUAUAUUUGGGUUUUGACAUAUUUGAGUAUCUUGAGUAUGUAUAUGGAUUUUGAGAAUUUAUAUAAAUGUUUGGCUAUGUGUGGGGUACUUGGGUUGUUGAGGUGAGAUUUUGGAAAGUGUUGAGUAUAGAAUGUCAGUUUGGAGUGCUAUAAGCACUACCCUAUGUACCUCCCCUGAUUUGGAACUUGGAUACGGUUACUUGAGAUACUCGGGGCAUCCUUGACGGGAUGUUGCUGUAGACCCUUGAUUGGGUAGUCUGCGCGCGUAGGACUGGUCACAGACGUACAAGUUUUGAGGGUAUCAACUGUACGUGCUGGCUGAGAGUUAGUCCCCCGGUUGGACGGCUCGUUCCCUAGUUACAUGGUGAAUUGAGGACUCUUCAUGGGGACUCUGCCAUGGUGACUAGUCAAACAAUCCCCCGGUUGGAUUGUUUCCCCGGUACAAGUAGGUGUUGGUCAUAUUUAUAUUAUUAUUAUUACAUAUAUAUAUAUCCCUUAUAUUAUAUUUACAUAAGUAUAUAACUAUUCAUUUAUUCUUAUUUUUCGGUGAGGAUACUUCCUUGCCGGUCGUGCCAAUGGGUACGCUUUUGAGAGUUUGGUUUGGGACUUUUAAUAUUUAAUUGGUGGUUUGUUUAGUGUUCUGUUUGGAUUUUGGACUUGACAUUCCGGCUUUGGUUUGGUUUUGACUUAUGUAAAUAUUUAUUUGAUUUUGAUGAUUUGAGAUGCUUUCGGAUUUUCUUGCUUGGUUUAUUUAAACAGUGGGGUUAUAUUAUGUUGGUUUACACUGAACUGAACUUUAUUUUUGUCCACUCACAUUUUUCUGUUUUGCGCCCCCAGCCAGUAGUCGACUGAGCUCCGCAGCUAGGCCGGAUCGUGUGCUCACGAGCCUUGAGCCAUUGUAGGAUUUCUUCAUCCUGUUUUCCUUGAACUUUGUUUUUGUUGUAUUUAAACUCCUUAGAUAUGCUCUGUUAUCGCCCUUGCUAGGGUUGAUCUUUGAGGCCGGAGGCCUUUGUUGUAAACUGUUUGAUUGCUUUAAAGCAUGCUGCUGGUUGAGUACUUUAAACUGUGUUUUUGAGCAGGUUGAAUUUUUGGGGAAAUGCUCAAUUUACAGGGGAGACUCUGCCAAAAUUUUUGGUAGAAAGUCUCGAUUCUUAGUAAGUGGGCCCGGCAUCGGGGAGAUGUCGGUAACGAGACGGGAUUCACUUCGGUUUUCGGGAAUUUCGGGGCGGGUCCUGUCAAUUCUGGCCACUUCUGCUCGUUUUUCGAGUUAUGCUCAAGAACAAAAGUGACUCCAAAUGAGGUUUUACGUCUAGGGUAGGAAUCUUGGCCGACGGUUUGGAGUAUUUCCUGCCGCAGGAAUUUGAUCUGCACACCCACGCGCUGCCGGCUCGUGGCGGCGCGUGGGUACUGUGUUUUGGGGCAAAGUUCUGUCCUAAAAUGAUCAUCGCGAUCUAACAAGUGCGUAGGUACUUUCGGAUUCCAAUUUGGUUAAUGUUUGAACCCCAAACGGAUAUCGCCUAUUGUGCGAUUUCCGGGUUCGAUAAGUUUGAACUGUUGGAUCGCUGUCAAUUUCAUAUAUGUUGAUUAAGACAAUUCUAGGAUCGUGUAGAAUUUGACGGAUCGUGAAUUGGAGUUCCGGAUACUCCGAAACCAAGAACCCUAGGGCAAGAUUAAUUGUUGUCAUCUGAUCGUGAUCAAUCCGACCGUUCGAUUUGGACCAGACUUGCAGGGUAGGUUCAAAAUAGUGUUUAAAUGACCCUGUAAAUGAGCCUUGACUGAGAAUGAGUUAUCUGGGUCAUGUUAUGUAUUGAGUGUAGAUAGUUAUUUAUAAAUUGCUAGAUUGUGCAUAUAAGUAUAGUUGAGAAUCGAUUUAUUAGAAAAUUGAUAUAAAGGUCGGGUAAUGGAUUGAAAAAUAAAGGGAGAGUAUUGAUAUAAGUUUGGGAGAAUCUCGGUUUUGAGAUGUUCUUAAACUAAAAUAGAGUGAGUUCAAUGUAUGACUUAUUUAUAAUCAGUAUAUGAUUGUUACGAGUAUUGGGAAGUUGCAAAGCAUUGUUUUAGAGUUGUGAAUAUGAUUGAGUACAUCACACACAUGAGAAUUCAGUUUGACUUGCAAAAUACAUGGCAAUAUGAUGAAUGAAUAAGAUAUUCAAUUACAGUAUUAAAGGGAAAGAACUACGUGUGGCUUGAUCCCUCAAUAAGGGUACGUAGGCAGCAUAAUGUUACAAGGUGCACCCACAAGUUAGAGUGUUUGAGAUUGCUAAUGUACUAUUGAUGUUUUGAAAGUUGAGAUGAAUUUUGUUAGUAGAAUGAUUUAUUUGAUUUGUUGAGGCCUGAGGCCAGAAUGAUAUGAUGCUUGAUUGCUUGGAUAUAAUUUAAUGCAUGCUGAAUGAUUGGGAUAUAUAAAUGUUUGUUGACAGGUGGAAACUUUUGAGAAACAAGCAAAUUACAGGGGAGACUGCUGAAUUUUCGGCAAAAGUCUAGCUGAUAGAAAAAUUCGUUUCUAGUUAGAAGGACGAUUUGGUCAUUUCUGCUCGGCAUUUUUCAGGUGUCGGACACGCAUAGGGUUUGGCUCGAAUUCCAAAGUGGUCGGGUCCUGUCAUAUAAUUCUUCCUAGCUUCCAACAAAUUGAAUAGAUAUGGAGAAAGGUUCAUUCAAGUCAGCUUUCUUCAUUGUGCUCUUUCUUGUUUCGUAUGAUGGUAAAAUACUUCUCUCAAUUUUUAUUUUUGUUACAAUGAAAGAGAAAUUUAUUCUUGACAUACUAUAAUCGUAUGUUAAUCCUAACAACCUAGGCUAACUUGAAGGGCUGACUUCUUUGAACAAUACAACUGCAUAUAGGAAUUUUUUUUCUUCUCUGACGUGGUUGAGUUCACUUAUUUUUAAAAUGUGUAUAUGUCGUUCAUACAUUGUUAAAAUUAUAUACUUUAAUCUAACAAUUGUCAAUAUUUUCAGCCAUAAAGUUGAGUUUAAGCGUAUAUUUUUGUAACGUAAACUUAUGCAUAAAGCAGUAUGUUCACAAUAAGGGCAAAAAACAAUUUUAUUAUGAAUUAUGGAAAUAUUAAUUGUGGUAGGUGUGCAAUUUGGAGCCGAAGCAAGAGGUCCAAUUGUUCGUUAUCCGUGCCAAACAUCUGCUCUAUGCGGCCCAUGCACAUGCGUCGAGAAUUAUUGUAAGUGUCCGCCAGAUAAAAUAUCGAAGUUCAUUCUUCAAGACAUCUCUACACACCCGCAGGCACAGCAGGAAAUGCCAUAAUCAGCGCUACUUGAUACAUUAAUAUAUAUAUCAUUGCUCGAAUGACUGUUAAAUGAGGCUUGACUGUUUGUGAACUAAUUUGUUUAUGUUUGAAUUACGAGUUUAUGUUAUAGUAUUUUAUUAUUUUCUUGAGUGUUAUUUUAAGACUCGAAGGUUAUUUUGCUAUUUAUUUAUUUAUUAAUGUCAUUGUGAUUAUUAUUAAAAGAGUACUUGACCGAGUGUUAUUGGAUGAUUUAAUGCGUAUGAGUUAUUAUGUAAUUGUUUUUUUUUUCUCUAAGGAUAUAUUAUAUUGUGAUUAGUUGUGAAGAGUUGAGAAAAGAUUUGAUAUACAGAUUUGUGGAAUAAAGGG